rnacentral:rRNA from 1 species
GUGGGGAAUAUUGGGCAAUGGGGGAAACCCUGACCCAGCAACGCCGCGUGAGGGAAGAAGGUUUUCGGAUUGUAAACCUCUGUCCUUGGUGACGAAGGAAGUGACGGUAGCCAAGGAGGAAGCCCCGGCUAACUACGUGCCAGCAGCCGCGGUAAUACGUAGGGGGCAAGCGUUGUCCGGAAUGACUGGGCGUAAAGGGCGUGUAGGCUGCCGAUUAAGUCUGGAGUGAAAGUCCUGCUUUCAGGGUGGGAAUUGCUUUGGAGACUGGUUGGCUUGAGUGCGGAAGAGGUAAGUUGAAUUCCCAGUGUAGCGGUGAAAUGCGUAGAGAUUGGGAGGAACACCAGUGGCGAAGGCGACUUACUGGGCCGUAACUGACGCUGAGGCGCGAAAGCGUGGGGAGCGAACAGGAUUAGAAACCCGGGUAGUCC